rnacentral:rRNA from 1 species
GAUGAACGCUAGCUACAGGCUUAACACAUGCAAGUCGAGGGACCGGCGCACGGGUGAGUAACACGUACCCAAUCUGCCCUUUACUCGGGGAUAGCCUUUCGAAAGAAAGAUUAAUACCCGAUAUAAAGGAUGGGGAUGCGUUCGAUUAGGUUGUUGGUGAGGCAACGGCUCACCAAGCCUUCGAUGGAUAGGGGUUCUGAGAGGAAGUUCCCCGAAAUUGGAACUGGGACACGUUCCAAACACCUAGGGGAGGCAGCAGUGAGGAAGAUUGGGCAAUGGGCGCUAGCCUGAACCAGCCAAGUAGCGUGAAGGAUGAAGGCUUAUGGGUCGUAAACUUCUUUUAUAUAAGAAUAGGUAUUAAAAGAAUAAGGAUCGGCUAACUCCGUGCCAGCCGCCGCGGUAAUAC